GGGCCCGUAGCUCAGUUGGUAGAGCGCCUGCUUUGCAAGCAGGAUGUCGUCGGUUCGAAUCCGUUCGGGUCCACCA
rnacentral:tRNA from 3 species